rnacentral:lncRNA from 1 species
CUGAGAUUUAGAAAGUUGGUACAUCUUCAAAUUAUGUUUUUAAUAAGAAUUAUAAAACUUCAUUUAAAGCUUAGACUUUCUUGAAGCCCUUUAUUAGAUAAAAAGAGGUCUAUUUUUGUCACAAAUAUAUACAUUUAUUCUAAUAGUUACUUAUAUGAUUAGGUAGAAGUAAGUAAAUAUAGAUUAAUUUCAUAAAGUCUUCUAAUAAAGCUUUCUAAAAACUUCAUAGAUGC